CAGGGAUUGCCUUAGUAACGGCGAGUGAAGCGGCAACAGCUCAAAUUUGAAAUCUGGCUCUCGGGUCCGAAUUGUAAUUUGCAGAGGAUGCUUUUGGUUAGGAGCCUUCCGAGUUCCCUGGAAUGGGACGCCAUAGAGGGUGAGAGCCCCGUACGGUUGGAUUUCCGAGCCUAUGUAUAGCUCCCUCGACGAGUCGAGUAGUUUGGGAAUGCUGCUCAAAAUGGGAGGUAAACCCCUUCUAAAGCUAAAUAUUGGCCAGAGACCGAUAGCGCACAAGUAGAGUGAUCGAAAGAUGAAAAGCACUUUGGAAAGAGAGUUAAAAAGUACGUGAAAUUGUUGAAAGGGAAGCGCUUGUGACCAGACUUGCGUCUGUCAGUUCAGCCGUCCUUCUGGGCGGUGUAUUCUGUCGGCUCAGGCCAGCAUCAGUUUGUCGUUGGGGAGAAAGGUAGUGGGAAUGUGGCUCUUCGGAGUGUUAUAGCCCACUGCUAUACUCUUCGGCAGACUGAGGACCGCGCUUUAUUGCAAGGAUGCUGGCGUAAUGGUUAUCAGCGACCCGUCUUGAAACACGGACCAAGGAGUCGUCCUAAUAUGCGAGUGUUAGGGUGUAAAACCCCUACGCGAAAUGAAAGUGAACGGAGGUGGGAGCUUCGGCGCACCAUCGACCGAUCCUGACGUUUUCAGAUGGAUUUGAGUAAGAGCAUAUUGGGCCGGACCCGAAAGGAGGUGAACUAUGCUUGGAUAGGGUAAAGCCAGAGGAAACUCUGGUGGAGGCUCGCAGCGGUUCUGACGUGCAAAUCGAUCGUCAAAUCUGAGCAUGGGGGCGAAAGACUAAUCGAACCUCUUAGUAGCUGGUUUCCGCCGAAGUUUCCCUCAGGAUAGCAGUGUUGAUUCUCAGUUUUAUGAGGUAAAGCGAAUGAUUAGGGACUCGGGGGCGCUAUUUAGCCUUCAUCCAUUCUCAAACUUUAAAUAUGUAAGAAGCCCUUGUUACUUUAGUGAACGUGG
rnacentral:rRNA from 1 species